rnacentral:lncRNA from 1 species
AAUAACCAAAACAAUAAUGAUAAUAUUGUUAAUAAUGAUAAAUUAAUUAUUUUUAUUAAUUAUUAAUACUAUGGGUAUUUUAGUAAAUUGAUUCUCAUUCCCAUUUCCAUUCCCAUUCCCAUUUAUUUUUGCCAAGUAAACAUUGAAAUCUGAUUCUCAUUCCACCCCAUUCUUAUUCCACCCCAUUCCCAUUCCUAACUCAUUCCUAUUCUACCCCAUUCUCAUUCCCACGAAGUAAAUGCACCAUAAAAUCUCUCACCUUCAUAGGGGAGUGGAUUGGGUUGUUGGCACAUACGGACAUGUAUGACCACAUUGAUCCUUUUUGUCAGUGUCUGUAGAUCAUCAUUUUGGUCAUCGUUAUUGUAGGAAAUUUUGUUAAUUUGACUAGUAAGUGAAGUUUUAGUUGGAUUUGAAUAUAGGCUGCAGCUGAUUACAAUCAUUUAAACAGGCACUAGGAUGCAUGUACAUGUCCUCAUAAUACUUGUGAUACGCAUAACUAUUCACGACAUAUCUAUUUCACGCUCAGUCAUUGAUGAUAUGUUCUUGAAAGAUGUAUCUGUUUGUGUCAGUCUUAUUAAAUUUCUUGUCUUUGCUACUAAUCUGGUAUCAAUUCUUUUGUCUAAACUCUUUCAGUCAUUGCUGUCAUUCCAAUGGUUUGAUUACAAUGAUCCACACAUAGGUCAAGAAUAGAGUUAGUUCUUGGUUUACAUAUAGUUUAUAAUAUUGGUAGAUAUUUAUAACUGAAUGAACUUGUAUCAUCUUCAUCUUGGACUAAACUUCGAUUUUCCUUCCUCAGGUCUCUCUGUCAUGAGCAGGUUGGCUCGGAACAGGCUUCAUCAAUCAGACUAUGAUCUUGAAGAGAGAUCAAUUGACUGGGACCAUGUUGAAAUGUAAGGGAGUAUGAUAUCUCUGGCCUUUGAGGAAAGACCUCACAGCUCUGUCCGACAGACUGUUCACUUGCAUUGGUAACUUAGCACAGCCACUGGACAUUCUUCUAGUAUAUAGAAUGUCUAAUUUUCCAAAAAACAUUACAUGAUGGCGUGUCUCCAUCCUACUUUUUGUAGAUUUAACUCAAGACAAGUUUUGGACCAAAAAUACAUUAAUCCUUGGAAUUAUAUAUAUGUAUACAUUGUAUGAAAACUAGGAUAAAAUGAUUAUUUGUGUUUUUUGAAAAAUUUACAGUAGAAAAUUUUAUGUUGAGUGCUUGGAUGUGCACUGUAUUUCAUUUUACGAAUUUUCACCACGCAUCAUCAUUCUCUUCUUCUUCUUCUUCUUCUUCCCCUUUCGGUGUGAAAUGUGAUGCUGACUAGAGUAUGCAGUAGCAAAUCCAAAAUUAUUCCCGUUACCGUUAUGACAUUCUUAGGCUUGCUUUGUAGUUUAUUUACACUCAAAAAAUUACUCUGAACACUCGUUUGUUAAAUUUAAAAAAUUAAAUUUAUUUUUUACACUCUAAAAUGAUAAAAAAAGAGUUAAUUUAAAUUGGUCAAACUAAUUUAUUCUAAACACCAAUUAAACUAUUUAGUACAUCAAAAAAGAAUCAAUAACAAUUUAGUAUAUAUAACAUUUGAAUCAAAUUAUGUUGUAGAUAAAUUCUUUAAUAUAAUUUUUAGUUAUCAAUUUUUGUUUAUUAAAGAAUAUAUUCAAUAUUGAUAUUCACACCAUAAUUUUUUAAUAUAACAUUUAAAAAAAAAGGCCAUCUGCCCCAGGAAAAAAAAAAAAAAAAAUAACUAUUCACGACAUAUCUAUUUCACGCUCAGUCAUUGAUGAUAUGUUCUUGAAAGAUGUAUCUGUUUGUGUCAGUCUUAUUAAAUUUCUUGUCUUUGCUACUAAUCUGGUAUCAAUUCUUUUGUCUAAACUCUUUCAGUCAUUGCUGUCAUUCCAAUGGUUUGAUUACAAUGAUCCACACAUAGGUCAAGAAUAGAGUUAGUUCUUGGUUUACAUAUAGUUUAUAAUAUUGGUAGAUAUUUAUAACUGAAUGAACUUGUAUCAUCUUCAUCUUGGACUAAACUUCGAUUUUCCUUCCUCAGGUCUCUCUGUCAUGAGCAGGUUGGCUCGGAACAGGCUUCAUCAAUCAGACUAUGAUCUUGAAGAGAGAUCAAUUGACUGGGACCAUGUUGAAAUGUAAGGGAGUAUGAUAUCUCUGGCCUUUGAGGAAAGACCUCACAGCUCUGUCCGACAGACUGUUCACUUGCAUUGGUAACUUAGCACAGCCACUGGACAUUCUUCUAGUAUAUAGAAUGUCUAAUUUUCCAAAAAACAUUACAUGAUGGCGUGUCUCCAUCCUACUUUUUGUAGAUUUAACUCAAGACAAGUUUUGGACCAAAAAUACAUUAAUCCUUGGAAUUAUAUAUAUGUAUACAUUGUAUGAAAACUAGGAUAAAAUGAUUAUUUGUGUUUUUUGAAAAAUUUACAGUAGAAAAUUUUAUGUUGAGUGCUUGGAUGUGCACUGUAUUUCAUUUUACGAAUUUUCACCACGCAUCAUCAUUCUCUUCUUCUUCUUCUUCUUCUUCCCCUUUCGGUGUGAAAUGUGAUGCUGACUAGAGUAUGCAGUAGCAAAUCCAAAAUUAUUCCCGUUACCGUUAUGACAUUCUUAGGCUUGCUUUGUAGUUUAUUUACAC